UCCCUGGUAGUAUAUCGGUUAGUACACGCGCCUGUCAUGUGGUUGGGUUCCAGUGCUGUGCGCGCGAAAGCGGGGUUCGACUCCCCGCCAGGGAG